rnacentral:lncRNA from 1 species
CUGUGCAAUAAUUGGCGUAUAACAUGCAAAAUUAUUGCGUAUAUAAAGAGCUACAGAUGCGACGGUACAAGCGCAAACUAAUUUAUAACAAAAAAAGUGAAGCAAGCGAAUCAAAAAAAUGUCCAUAUGUUGUUUAAAUGUUCUUAUCAUCCUGUGGCUGGUUACGUUGGUGAAUAUAUAUUUUUCGGUACAAUAUGCAAAAAAGAAAGAUCGAUAUUUUGGACUUACAGUGCAUGGGAAAAUCAAACUACGACGUGAAAUUUGAAUCGAUUCAGAAUAUAAAGGGGGAAGAGAAAACCCUGGUGGAAUUCAAUUUGAAAAUAAUUGGACGAUAUCGAAGGAUCAAUGGAUCCAUCCUGUUUCACGUUGAUUUGGAUGAGCAUUUUGACGUAUGGAUGGAUUUCGCGAAAAUUAAGAAUGGAGAAUGGAUUCCAAUGAAUUUAAAAAUGCACACAAAGCCAUGCAAUUUUUUCAAUAACGUUUUUGAAAAAUAUUGUAAAUCAAUGCUUAAGAACUCGAAUUUCCCCACUGGCGAUGGCGUGUGCCCGAUAAACAAGGGUGAUUAUUAUCUCAAAAAUAGUUUCUUGUCCACUGACUAUUUGCCAACGUCCAUAAUGAAAGGGCUCAGCAAAUGCACUUUUACAAUUAGAGAAGAUGGAAAAAUUGUAGGUGGACUUGAAGUGGUAUUGACUUUAUUUGAACGCAGCACUUGAGCAACCAGAGUAUUGGAGGAAUCCUCAAACAAAAACCCUCAACUUCCGAUCCAAACAAAAACAAAACAGAAGUACAAAAUUGGAGAACUCUUUGAAUUGGAUAAGACUAUUUGUGUAUAGAAUUUUUGAGCUAAUAUAUGAAAUAUUCAGUGUUCAAUUUGCUGGUUAUUAAAUUUAUA